ensembl:lncRNA
CUGUCUCCUUCUUUUUGUGUGUGUGUGUGUGUGUGUGUGUGUGUGCAUCUUUAAAUGUCAAGUCAAGUAUGUCAGUGUAUUAUUAAGUCAACAAUAACUGUUGCUGCUUCACACUGAGCCAAAGCACUCUGUUUAUUAUUAUUUUUAAACUAUCUUUAUCCAUUUCUGGGGGCAUUUACAUGUGUGUAUAUCUGUUUGUGCAGGUGCGCAUUUGUGUGUGUGUGUGUGUGUGUGCGCAUCUGUGUGUAUCCUUGAAAAAGGCGGCUUCAGCUGUGUGAUCGACUGCUCUCAUGUUUUCCCGGGAUGCUGCAGUAGAUGUACGUAUGCGAGCGCGUUUGUAUGCAGAGUGAGCGUACGGUUCCGCGCAAUUUCUUUGUGUGCAUUUGUGUGAUUCAGUGUGCGUUCGUGUGCGUCCGCGUGAGAAUGUUUGUCUGCUUGUUUGUGUAUUCGCGGUGUGAGCCACCACUCAAGCAGCUGCUGUCAAAUUACCCUGCAAAGUCACAAAAUCAGGCCUUUGUAAAAACUCCUCUGCACACGAGCCAGACAGGCCUUGUGUGUGUGUGUGUGUGUGUGUGUGUGUGUGUGUGUCAGAUUUACCUGUGAAGUGAGUGCCAGUGUUUGCUCGAUUGCUGGCGGCCUAAAAAACUAAAACACUGCUCGAUUUCACAGUGAAAAGAUUCCGUUGGCUCAUUUUACAGACACGGUUAAGGUGGAUUGUUGCUUACAGACACGGUUAAGGUGGAUUGUUGCUUACUGACACUCUGACUGAACAGAAUUAACACGCAUCCACGCGUGAAUAACCGCUCAUUUAAAGGAGGAGGCAUGGGCCCCGGUGUGACGGAGCACAAAGGGAGGAGGUGGAGGGGAAUGGAGCAGGAAUAGGACCCAGGAGGCCCGGUGACAUGGAGGGUAUCGGUGGAGAAACAGCUCAGCUGCUGCAGAGAGAAGGACGGAAAGGAGAAGCCGAAGGUCUGAGGGCUCACUGACUUCCUUUAGUCAGCGGGUUUAUUCAAGAGGAGGAAAAGCCUGUUGGAUGAAUAAAUAGAGGAACUUUUAUAUAUUAAAUAAAUAUUAAAGGAAUAGAGAGAACAUCCUCUCGGUGCGGUUCACCUCACCGCCGAUGACAGCAAAUCAAAUCCAUCUUUGGCCUUUUUGAUCAAAACUGUCCCCUGCUGUGUGUCCUUUGUCCCUCCCAUGUGUCCUCUUAAUGAGGGAUGGAGGUUUUAGGAAUCACCACCACCAUCAUUAGUGGUACUUUUGAUUUACAGCUGUGUGGAAAGUCGUCUUCUUCCUUCAGAAUAAAAAGAGAGAGUCAGAAGGUAAAUGACCUAGGAUCAGGAAUCAGGAAACAUUUAUUGGCCAAAAUAUGUCAAACAUACAAGGAAUUUGUCUUGGCGGUUAGUGCGCGACAGUAGACAGACAAGACAACAGUGCACAGGUAAUAAAACCUAUGUGUUAGUUUAAAUAAUUCCUCCUGUGAUUCACAUUCACCACCAACAGUAUUUCACCUUUCCGUUCACCAGGAAGACAAAAGGAAAAAGUCUAAAUAUUGCUCUGGAAAAGUAUCUCCACGUACACCAGCGAGGCAUCUAUUAAUCAACGCCUCCUCAUGCUAAUAGAAGGAAAUAAUACGAGUAACCGCGUUAGAAGUACAUGAUGAAGCCGUUGGAACGUAAUAAUGAGGCGCAAACAUCCGCCGCUCUCUGGCCACGGCGCUUUUAUGUUGCAACGCUCGAAUCAAUAACGACGAGGAGAAGCUAUUUGAUAUGAAGUGUUAUGUGAACAUCGUCGGUGUUGCCACGGAAACGCUGGCUCGCGGUGACUUGAACGGCGCGCGAAUGUGUGCACGAAGCGGAUUACAGAAAUACAUACAAGCGACAACAAAAGUCCCAUUCCUCGUUACGGAUGGACGGGAGCGUGAAUCGGUUGUGAUUGACGGGUGAGAUUUGACGUGCGAGACGAACCCGCUCGCCCUCCUUCGUUCUUUUCAAAGGCUUCUUUGCGCUCAGCUUCUUCUUGAACACCCGCCCUGUAAACUCUGCACCGUCUUCUGUUCUCCUCCCGCCUUCACGGUGCACACAGGAGGGGGGGGGGGGGCGGGAAUGUGAGGACGCCACCCGUCGGGUUUGAAGCCUCCGGUUGGGCCAACGCCAUCUUCGGUUUCGUUUUGCUCCGUGAGGCGAGAAGGAGGCAGAUUGGUUACAAGAACUCAAAUUAUUGACCAAACUGACAGGUAAAGAAAUAAGGGCGAACUCCUUUAAUCCCACCUGUCUGGAAACAACACAAACACAUUAUUUGCACAUAUCCUUGGAUUUUUUUCGUCUUUGCUGCUAGAAGCCGACCGGUUGGUUUUCGGGGAGGAACCGGGCUGAAUCAUGAUGUUCUCUUGCAGGUGGAAAGUGACUGUGGAUAAAACGAGCACUGCGGCACAGAGAACGGGGAGAACUCCCGACAGGAAAAUGAGAAUAUGAAAGCAGCGCAGUCGGGGUCGGACUGAAGUGACCCUUCGGCGGGCCUCUGAUUGAAGGACGAUCCCGUAAUCAAAACCAAAUGAAACCACCGACUCGCCGCGACUCUCCAGAGUCACGAGAUAUGAUUUCCCUCGAGCACGACCUGACUGAGUGGUGGUGGAGGAGCGCGGCUGGGGGGGGGGGUCACGUGAAGCCAAAUGAAGUUUUUUAAUGUAGACGAUUAGCUAAAAAGCGACUUUAUUUGAAGAAAAUGAUAUCGAACACUAAUAUUUCCAUUAUAGCGAGGCAUCCGUUUUUAGUCCCAAGCAGUCCUCCUUUGAAUCCACAUCAUUUCGCUCAUCCUCCCGGUCCCAGGCCAGAUUAGAUCCAUAAUCCCCCCCAGCAGGUCCUGGAUCUGCCAAACGGAACGUGCCUGGACCGCAUGCAGGAGUCCGGAUGUGACGCUCGGACUCCCCGAGCCUUCAUUUAACAGCGUUUAUAGAGCGUGGCUGGAUUUAAAGUGUGCGUUUGAUGUACGCACAGUGUAACGUGGAUACAUGAGCACAGACACACACACACCGUCCUUAAUGUUCCUGUAAAAAGACGAAUUAACCUCGUAACGCUCAGGCCUCGAGCCUCACAAUGGGAAUAAGACAAGAACAUCUUCAAGCCGCCACAUGGACGCGUACGUUUACUGCCGAAAAGUGCCAAAGAGGGCACACUU